GACGAACGCUGGCGGCGUGCUUAACACAUGCAAGUCGAACGGAAAGGCCUCUUUCGGGGGGUACUCGAGUUGCGAACGGGUGAGUAACACGUGCGUAACCUGCCCUUGACUUUGGGAUAACUUCAUUAAACUGGGGCUAAUACCGGAUAGGAGCUCCUGCUGCCUGGUUGGGGUUGGAAAGUUUCGGCGGUUGGGUAUGGACUCGCGGGUUAUCCGCUUGUUGGUGGGGUAGUGGCUUACCAAGGCUUUGCCGGGUAGCCGGACUGAGAGGGUGAGAGGCCACAUUGAGACUGAGAUACGGCCGAGACUCCGACGGGAGGCAGAAGGGGGGAAUAGUGAACGAGGAGUGGAAGCCGGAUGAAGCAACGCCGUGGGCGGGAUGACGGUCUUAGGGGUGGAAACCGCUUUCGCUAAUGACGAAGCUUUGUGUGACGGUAGUGGGUAAAGAAGCAACGGCUAACUACGUG
rnacentral:rRNA from 1 species